rnacentral:rRNA from 1 species
CCUACGGGUGGCAGCAGUCGAGAAUCAUUCACAAUGGGGGAAACCCUGAUGGGGCGACGCCGCGUGGGGGAAUGAAGGUCUGCGGAUUGUAAACCCCUGUCAUGUGGGAGCAAAUUAAAAAGAUAGUACCACAAGAGGAAGAGACGGUUAACUCUGUGCCAGCAGCCGCGGUAAAACAGAGGUCUCAAGCGUUGUUCGGAACCACUGGGCGUAACGCGUGCGUAGGCUGUUUCGUAAGUCGUGUGUGAAAGGCGCGGGCUCAACCCGCGGACGGCACAUGAUACUGCGAGACUAGAGUAAUGGAGUGGGAACCGGAAUUCUCGGUGUAGCAGUGAAAUGCGUAGAUAUCGAGAGGAACACUCGUGGCGAAGGCGGGUUCCUGGACAUUAACUGACGCUGAGGCACGAAGGCCAGGGGAGCGAAAGGGAUUAGAUACCCCUGUAGUC